rnacentral:rRNA from 1 species
UGCAGUCGAGCGAACUGAUUAGAAGCUUGCUUCUAUGACGUUAGCGGCGGACGGGUGAGUAACACGUGGGCAACCUGCCUGUAAGACUGGGAUAACUUCGGGAAACCGAAGCUAAUACCGGAUAGGAUCUUCUCCUUCAUGGGAGAUGAUUGAAAGAUGGUUUCGGCUAUCACUUACAGAUGGGCCCGCGGUGCAUUAGCUAGUUGGUGAGGUAACGGCUCACCAAGGCAACGAUGCAUAGCCGACCUGAGAGGGUGAUCGGCCACACUGGGACUGAGACACGGCCCAGACUCCUACGGGAGGCAGCAGUAGGGAAUCUUCCGCAAUGGACGAAAGUCUGACGGAGCAACGCCGCGUGAGUGAUGAAGGCUUUCCGG